AAUAAUAGAUUUAUUGCCAUCAAUAAAUAAUACAUGGCGCGUCAUAUAAUUAUGUACAUGUAAGUGUAUAUGGGACAAUACAUACAUUUAUUUUAAAUCUGGAGGGUUAUCCAGGAACUCUUGGAUAGAAUAAUAACUCAUUUCUAAUAGUGCGUCCUUUACCUUCUUCUCAAACAGAGCCGGAGCUAGUCUCUUCAUCGGGUCCUGAAGCUUGUUAUAAAGCUUCGGGCCCCAAUGGUCAAUGCUGUGCUGUGACACUUUAAGCCGAUGGUACGGUGUUGAGAGCGCGUCAGCGUGUCUUGUGUUAUGCUCGUGAUAUGAGCCAUUCUUGAUGAACUCGUGGAGGUGGUUGUGGACGUACCUCAGACAGCUCAAUAUGUACGCGGAAGGGAUGGUAAGAAUUUGUUGUUGUUUGAAGGCUGGGCGGCAGCUUUCCCGAUAGUUCAUUUGGCACAGGAUUCUGAUUGCUUUCUUUUGCAGGACGAAGAUCUUGUCAGCAUCUGAUGAAGUACCCCAUAGAAGUAUACCAUAGGUGGCUUUGCUGUGGAAGUUAGCAAAGUAUGUCACCCUUGCAGCUUGGGGAGUUGAGAUAUUCUUGAUUCUUCUGAUACUGAAUAAAGCUGAUGCUAGGUUUUUGCAGGUUUCCUGAAUGUGGUCCUUCCAAGAUGCUUUGCUAUUUAGGUAAAAUCCCAAGAAUUUUACCGAUGUGACGUUGGUGGGUUUUGAAGAUAUAAAUAGUUCCUGAGUCUUGUCUCCAUUGAGUUUCAGUUUAUUUGCUGUGAACCAUUCAUUGGCAUCUUCAAGGAUUUUUCUCAUUUUUGGUUUUAGCGUAUCCUCUGUUUCUUCUUUGAUGCAGAAGGAAGUGUCGUCCGCAUAUAGACACUGUCCAUCCACUCUCAUAUUGAUAGGCAAGUCAUUUACAUAGAUUAUAAAUAGCAGUGGACCGAGGAUUGAUCCCUGGGGCACUCCACACCUUGUUGGCAGAGGCUUUGACCAUUUUUCAUUCCAUUUUACUAUCUGGGUUCUAUUUUCAAGGGAAGAAUUUGUCAAAGGCAGCUGUCAGAGUUGUAUGGAAGACAGUGUAGGCCUCUUUUGCAUUACGGUGUUUGAAGACACGAGCCCACUCAAUUCCGGUUAAGUACUCCUUAAAGUAGUUCUUGCACUGGGUUCUUAAUCUUCAGGACUUGACAGUAGUGAUCAGACAUGCACCAACUUUUUGUCUCUUUUGAGAAGAUUUCUUCUAUGUUAAUAUUUGAAAAUAUAUUAUCUAUGCAGCUAGAAGAAGUUUCAGUUGUUCUAGAUGCCUCUCUCAUUAGUGGUUGCAUACCAUAUGUUGUGAAAGUUUCGAUUAAUAAAGAUUGUUCGACGCCA